rnacentral:rRNA from 1 species
UACGAAGAGGGCUAGCGUUGCUCGGAAUCACUGGGCGUAAAGCGCACGUAGGCGGCUUUCUAAGUCAGGGGUGAAAUCCUGGAGCUCAACUCCAGAACUGCCUUUGAUACUGGGAAGCUCGAGUCCGGAAGAGGUGAGUGGAACUCCGAGUGUAGAGGUGAAAUUCGUAGAUAUUCGGAAGAACACCAGUGGCGAAGGCGGCUCACUGGUCCGGUACUGACGCUGAGGUGCGAAAGCGUGGGGAGCAAACAGG